ensembl:misc_RNA Metazoa_SRP Metazoan signal recognition particle RNA
GCCGGGCGUGGUGGCGGGCGCCUGUAGUCCCAGCUACUUGGGAGGCUGAGGCAGGAGAAUGGCGUGAACCCGGGAGGCGGAGCUUGCAGUGAGCUGAGAUCCGGCCACUGCACUCCAGCCCGGGUGACAGCGCGAGACUCCGCCUCAA